CAGUUCUGAACCAGGGCAGAGCAGUGGAUUGUGUGGUGGCACAUCAGCCUGGCUGGGAGUACAAAUAAAGCUUGCAAUCUGUAAGGAAGAAAACGAGGGUCUGAGAAACAGAUGCCAAAGUCUGAAGAGAUCCCAUUGAAACAACCCUGAGGGACGAGUGCUGAGGAAAAGUCCCCCUUCGCCUGGGUCCUCUGGGAGGAAAAUCUGGUGUACGAGCCAGAGUGUGCAGCAUCUCCCUGGGAAGUAAGGGCCCUUACUUGCGACUGGUGCAGUACGGGGAGCGCAGCAACAGCUGCAGACUGCAACAAAUUGAGCCUCCCAGCAUCUGUGCACAGGAGGACAGAACCCUUCUGCUGUGGUGCAGUGACGAAGCCCCAGGAUCAUGCCCCAUCUUUAGAGGAGAAGCAGGGAGAGGAGAAAACAAAUCCUGCCUCAAGUACUGAAGCUUCUUUCCACAUCCUUGUGUCAGUGGUUUCACUACUUGUUAGCUUAGUGUAUUUUAACAUCUGGACAUUCAGAGAAUAUAAGAAAGAUGUACCAAUGAAGACACUGACCAACAUUUGGGCCAGGCAAAGGCAGAAUGAGG
ensembl:lncRNA